GGGGUUGUGGCUCAGUGAUAGAGCACUUGCCUAAUGUGUAUGAGACCCUGGGUUUGAUCCUCAGCACCA
rnacentral:tRNA from 1 species